AGGUAGCAUGCGACCCGCUUCGUUUAUUUCUUUUAGAAAUAAAUUUUGUCACCCGCUUCGUUGAUUUCUUUACUAAUUUAAAAUUUAUGAAUCAAAUACUGUGACGAUAAAAGUUAACGAGGGUACAAUAAAGACGUUACUGCUAAGAAUACCAAAAAAUAGUACUUUCAGUCCAAUUAAUUUUUUAAUUUUUUUAUUUGUAAAUUUUACCUUGAUGAUAAUAGAAAAUUAUUAUUCAUCUUUUUUGAUACUGUAAUGAGCAUUGGUUUUAUUUUAAACUGAUUUAUUCAUUUUACUUAUUAAAUUUAAAUAUUUUUAGAAGGAAAUAUAUUUUAAUUUUGUUCUCUAAUUCAUUCUUUAAUUUUUAAUUAUUCAGUGCUGAGAUAAAUAAGAUUUAAAAAUAUUAAUACGUAAGAGGAAAAAAAGUAACGUUAAUAAUUAUAAUAAUUUAUUGUUGUAUUAUCUUUUUGCCGUAUCGCGUGGGACUUGAUCUUAACUGGUAUUACUUUAUUUCACCAACUUGCUAUGAUUAUUAUUUUUAGUAUUAUUCUU
rnacentral:lncRNA from 1 species